rnacentral:rRNA from 1 species
UACGUAGGGUGCAAGCGUUUGUCCGGAAUUAUUGGGCGUAAAGAGCUCGUAGGCGGUUUGUCGCGUCUGCUGUGAAAACUCGGGGCUUAACCCCGGGCCUGCAGUGGGUACGGGCAGACUAGAGUGCGGUAGGGGAGACUGGAAUUCCUGGUGUAGCGGUGAAAUGCGCAGAUAUCAGGAGGAACACCGGUGGCGAAGGCGGGCCUCUGGGC